AACCGCCGUAUAUGGAACCGUACGUACGGUGGCGUGGGAGGACGGCAGAGGUAUAACACCCCGCCUCCUACCCGAU
rnacentral:misc_RNA from 1 species